UGCCCUCAGCAAUGGGCAAAGACACACCUUGUUGGUGGUGGUGGUCUUCCAUCAGUCAGGGGCAGAGCAGUGGCAGUCCUUUGCUCAUCCUAGCUUGAUGCCGAGCUUGGUGGUCAAUGCUUUUUUAUGCCUAGGAUACGUAA